AGCAGCCGCGGUAAUUCCAGCUCCAAUAGCGUAUAUUAAGGUUGUUGCAGUUAAAAAGCUCGUAGUUGAAUUUCGGGGUUAGUAGGUUGGUCAUGCCUCCGGUAUGUACUGAUCUCACUGAUUCCUCCUUCCUUAUGAACCGUAAUGCCAUUAAUUUGGUGUUGCGGGAAAUUUGGACUGUUACUUUGAAAAAAUUAGAGUGUUUAAAGCAAGCUAACGCUUGAAUACAUUAGCAUGGAAUAAUGAAAUAGGACGUUCGAUCUUAUUUUGUUGGUUUCUAGGAUUGACGUAAUGAUUAAUAGGGAUAGUUAGGGGGCAUUAGUAUUCAAUUGUCAGAGGUGAAAUUCUUGGAUUUAUUGAAGACUAACUACUGCGAAAGCAUUUGCCAAGGAUGUUUUCAUUAAUCAAGAACGAAAGUUAGGGGAUCGAAGACGAUCAGAUACCGUCGUAGUCUUAACCAUAAACUAUGCCGACUAGGGAUCGGAUGAUGUUAAUUUUUAAUUGUACUCAUUCGGCGCCU
rnacentral:rRNA from 1 species